UUUUUUUUGCAACAUUUCUACUUUAAAUCAAAUGUAUUUAUGUGCAAUAUUUAUUCCUGAUAUUUAAUACAUGUAUGUUUACAUAGUUGCAGAGUAAUUGCAUGAGGUAUGUUAUUAGAUGGACACUUUCUUUGUAGAAUUAAAAAAAACUAUUAUUUACUAACCAUAGCUUCAAAGAUACUUUGACAGGAAAAUUAAAAAAAAAAUCUCAACUUUUUAAUAAUAGUUAUGUUAUAUUUAUCAAAUGAAUGACUUUAAUCAUAUGUUAUCAAGAGAAAUUCUAUCGAUCAAUGUACCUCCAAUGAUUUGCAAAAAUAUCAGACAAUCCAAAUAGUAAUAUGAUGUAUUUAUAUAUAGAUUGCUAACAACUCUACCUAUGGAACUAAAGAUCUUUACAGAAACUAUCUCAAGUUUUCAAGCUUGACUUGUCGACUAACUGUAAUAUUUCUGAUGCUUUCCAUCCAGACUUUCAUAAUAUAGCAAAUCUUUGACAUGAAGAGGCUACUUAUGAUUUAAUUCUUAAAGUCCAUAAAAUGUUUUAAUGUCUAUUGAAUUUAAGGCAUCUAUUUACUUGCAUUUUUUCUUUGAUAUUAAUACUUCUUAUGAACCAUAUUCUCUAAAUAUGUAAGAAUGUUUUAUGUACACCAAACGCUGAUCUGUAAAUUAUCUACAAUUAUCUUGUGUAGUUUUACACUUAUUAUUUAGAUCUGUCUCUAAGUAUAUUAAACGAUCUGUAAUUGAAUAUCGAGUGUCUGUUUCUGAAAGUGUCCGUCCUCAUUCAGUGUUUCUAACAUAUUAAUAAAAUGUAUCAUUAUU